UGUUUGGUGGCUGAGUUGAAGCGAUAGACUGUAGAUCUAUUAACGGAGUUAAGUUUCCCCAACAA
rnacentral:tRNA from 3 species